CCGAACUCUCACUUUCUAACCCUGUGCAUCUGUUAAAUUGGACUAGUAGCUCUUCGGAGUGAACCGCCAUUCACUUAUAAACACAAAGUCUAUGAAUGUAUACAAAUUUAUAACAAAACAAAACUUUCAACAACGGAUCUCUUGGCUCUCGCAUCGAUGAAGAACGCAGCGAAAUGCGAUACGUAAUGUGAAUUGCAGAAUUCAGUGAAUCAUCGAAUCUUUGAACGCACCUUGCGCUCCUUGGUAUUCCGAGGAGCAUGCCUGUUUGAGUGUCAUGAAAUCUUCAACCCACCUCUUUCUUAGUGAAUCUGGUGGUGCUUGGUUUCUGAGCGCUGCUCUGCUUCGGCUUAGCUCGUUCGUAAUGCAUUAGCAUCCGCAACCGAACUUCGGAUUGACUUGGCGUAAUAGACUAUUCGCUGAGGAUUCUAGUUUACUAGAGCCGAGUUGGGUUAAAGGAAGCUCCUAAUCCUAAAGUCUAUUUUUUGAUUAGAUCUCAAAUCAGGUAGGACUACCCGCUGAACUUAA
rnacentral:rRNA from 1 species